rnacentral:rRNA from 1 species
CCCUCCCUCUUUCUUCGUGCUUAACACAUGCAAGUCGAACGGAAAGGCCCUGCUUUUGUGGGGUGCUCGAGUGGCGAACGGGUGAGUAACACGUGAGUAACCUGCCCUUGACUUUGGGAUAACUUCAGGAAACUGGGGCUAAUACCGGAUAGGAGCUCCUGCUGCAUGGUGGGGGUUGGAAAGUUUCGGCGGUUGGGGAUGGACUCGCGGCUUAUCAGCUUGUUGGUGGGGUAGUGGCUUACCAAGGCUUUGACGGGUAGCCGGCCUGAGAGGGUGACCGGCCACAUUGGGACUGAGAUACGGCCCAGACUCCUACGGGAGGCAGCAGUGGGGAAUAUGGCACAAUGGGCGGAAGCCUGAUGCAGCAACGCCGCGUGCGGGAUGACGGCCUUCGGGUUGUAAACCGCUUUCGCCUGUGACGAAGCGUGAGUGACGGUAAUGGGUAAAGAAGCACCGGCUAACUACGUG